CAUAUUCAUCAGCAUGACCGAUAG
rnacentral:siRNA from 1 species